rnacentral:rRNA from 1 species
GACAGAGGAGCCAAGCGUUGUCCGGACUGACUGGGCGUAAAGCGCACGCAGGCGGCGCUGCGCGUGGGGUGUGAAAGCUCUUGGCUUAACUGAGAGAGGCCAUCCCAUACGGCAGUGCUCGAGCAUGCAGAGGUCCGCGGAAUUGCCGGUGUAGUGGUGAAAUGCGUAGAGAUCGGCAGGAACACCCAGGGGGGAAACCAGCGGACUGGGCAUCGGCUGACGCUCAGGUGCGACAGCGUGGGGAGCGAACCG